AAUAAUAAUAAUAAUAAUAAUAAUAAUAAUGGAUCAAGAUGAUUUAGAACAAAUGCCUUAUCAAUUUUAUAAGCUUUAUGAAGAGAUAGAUGAAGAAGGGGAUGUGUGGGACACAAGUGAGAAAAUGGAAUAUCUGAAACCAGUACAAUCAAAAAUCUCACCAAGAUUAUGAUGAUGAGAUAUUCUUUGGGAACAGAACAAGUUGCAUACCAUUAGAAACACUUUAUGCAAGAUUGGGGGAUGAUAAUGAAGAUGACUUUAUAGAGAAGUUGAAUUACAUGACUUGUACUGAUACAGAUUUUGAAUGGAAAGGUGGAUAUCAAGGGACAUAUUAAGAACUGGAGGAGGAAAGAUGGAUAUACAACUUCACUUCUAUUCUCUAACUUCAAAAACAUUACAAAUACCAUUCAUGCUGUAACAGUGAAACCAAGAUUAGUUGGAGUUCCAUAGGGUAACAUACUAUACAAGACCUUAUGGGAAUGAAGACUAGUCUUAGGUAGAAAAGAAAAUAUGCAAGCACAAAAACAACUGAGUAAUUCAACAACAAGUACACUCCUAAACUUGUAGCAUAAAACUCCAAUUUCAUAACUAGCACAGACACAAACACCUAGAAUGCUAUGGAAGCAUAAAUUUACAUUGGAUGAAUUUGUUAUUAAGAUUUAGUUGAGAACUGAAAAAGGUUAUCUAUUUCUCUCAACCUUCACCCUAAAUUAAUCUCUACCUGGGGAAGGGAGAGAGGGAGGUUAUACAAUGAAGAUAUUAUCUCAUAGUUUCAGAUACCUCACAAGAAGCAACAAUGUGAUCAUGCCAUCACUGAAGAAGCAUACAAAGGACAUCUGAUUAAAAAAAAGAACCCUAGUCAUGAGCAGCAACACAAGUAGCCAAAGAAGGAAUCAAUAACAGUCCUUGUGAAUGAAAGCCUAUGAAAACAAAGAAAAGCACAUGAGAGAACUUAUCAACAAAUAGUACAGACAAGAGAGCACUGCACAUGUUGAAAUGAUAACAGGAAAGCAUCCCUGAAGCAAAUAGAACAGUUCCAGAAAGAAAAGCCGGUGAAACAAAAAGAAAUAUGCAUUUAAAAGACUAGCAACCACAGAAAAAUCUCUACAUUAUAUACAAAGUCUCUGCCAGCCAUAGUAACAGAAAAGAAACAAUGUUAUUUCAAAUGAAAAUGUAACUCCAUGACCAUACAAAUGCAUUAUAUCUAAAGUCUAUCUCCAAAACCUUACAUAAGAAAACAUACAAUAAACCUCCUUGUGAAAAAAUUCAAACAUCAAAAAGUUGUUCCUGAAUUGAAGAACACAGGUCUUCAAUCAAGAGUAAAUGAAAACAGGAGAGUGGUAUGCUGACCAGAAGAUGAAGACAGAGGUUAUACAAUCAACAUAAAAGGACAUGGAAGGACUGUGAAAACAAAAAAGGGAGGGAUGUGGAGGAGGCAUGCAUGCAAGACAGAAAGCUAAGGAUAGAAGAGCUGUCAAUCAAAAGAGCUCAGCCAGGAAAGACAGGCUGAACUGGGCUGAGAGGCUUCUGAACUGGACUCGUUUUGGCUUCUGACAGAGGGGGGUGGAGAAGUAACUGGAGUUUCUGGAUUUUGAACUAAGUUUUUGGCUGCCUGUGGCUGAUGGUGAAGACCCUGAAUCUUUUGCUGAUUGACUGAGGUUACCCGGCUGGUUAGAAAAAAGAAGACAUACAGUUGUCCUUCUAAUCUCUCUGACUGUCCCUGCUAGUGACUGAUUACUAUUUCCCCAAUAUCCUUCUAACCCUCAUUUUAGAGAAUAGGGAAACCUAUUGCUCUUACCUUAUCCUCCAUCCUUUCCUGUCUUCCCCAAAUAAACCCUUACUUGAGUUAAAGAAGAGAAAAGAGUAUUUUCUCUAAAGCAUAGUAGUUCACACUGAGUGAAACUGGAAAAGGGGGAGGGGAAGCUGAAAGGUUUUGAAGAGAGGGUGGAAAUAGGGAGUAGGGUAGGAAAAACUUUAUCCAUUAGUCAUCCAGGAGAAUUAAUAGACACCCUCAAGAAUUACUAUCUAUUACAUCAGGCAUUCUUAUGGUGAAAACCCUGAUCUAGGUUCUACCAUGAUCACAUAUAAAGAUCCAUUUAGGUUAUAUUGGGAGGGGAAUUGCUAAUACUUUCAUCUUUUGGAAACAGAUAUUUAUGCCUUUCAUUUAGAAAAUUAUAGAAUAAAAAAAGGAUAGGAGGAUUUAAUGGUGCAAAGUGAUGUAAAAAGAGAUAAGAAAAAAUAGACAUGACCAAAAGGGUUGAUGGGAGCAAUGUGCAUAAAACAAAAUAAAUGAAUGCUGUAAAU